CCCAGGCCAUUCUGUUAGAGUGUGUUUUCAGGCUCCCCAGAGCCUCCUCCGUUCAGUCUCGCCGUAUCCUCCGUCUUCUCGUGCGGCAGCACAUCCAUUUUGGCGUCGUUCCUUUCUCAGAGUUCUCUCUCCUGGUUGCACCACAGCACUUGUCUGGAAAUGUGUCCUUGGAGUUUGUGUUGGGCCUGGAACUGCUCUGCCCUGCAGUGUAGACUUGGGGGUAGGUGGAGUAGAAAGGAGACUUGCCAGUUACCCCGUGGAUAGGCUCAGGCACUGAGGGCAGGGCCUUAAAGUGAGGUCAGUGUUUGUUUGUGCAGGUUGUCUUUGGACCCCAGAGGGCUUGUCUAAAGAGAAAUUAGAAUUGCACAGCAGUUAAUGUCCCCCUGUCUAUAUGUUUGACUUUGGUAACUCAUUUCUUUGCAGUGUCAGAGGGACUGGAUGUAAAGCAGAGAUGAACAGAGGAGGCUGGAGGAGCACAGUCAGAAGAUGCAGAGCUCUCAGCCCAGCAGAGGACAGGCACCAGAGGGAAGGUGAGCCCGGUGAGGAAGGCAAUGCACCGACUUCUAACGUGCAGUCCAACGUGACAGGGACCCUGCCUGUAAGAGGUCACGGUCAAGGGGAGUCAGACAGAAACUGCCAUGGGAGCAGCAAACUCUUGGGCAGUAUCUAAGUACUCACACUUGUCUCUGGGUUUUUUUGCAGGAGACGUAGGCAGCCUCAGAUGGCCGAAGCCAACUCACAGUGAGGUGAUGGACACAGUUUGGUCCUCUGGAGCUGUCCUUGUAGGUAAUCUCCGAGUAUUGAAAGGAUCAGCAAUGAAGGAUUGAGCUUUUUGGAUUGCAGGUGCCAUCCAGGUAACCUUUGGGAGCCGAUGAGCAUUGGAGGUGAGUCGGGGAGGCAGCAGGAGGAGCAGGAAUCCACUGCAGCUUUAGAGAUGCCCUCUAAUUUUGUCUCUAUUUCUCUCAGGUG